CUUCCAUUUGGACUGGGGAUCGCAUGGUGGUAUAAUUUGGCAGUCGUGCGGCAUAAUGCAAGAAAUGGUCCGUCCGGAGCCAUAAUGCCAGCACAUACAUCCGUAACAAAGCGAAGGCGUCGAAAUACUAUCUGCUGUAGCAAAUGCAUGCGUAUCAUUUGGGGCAUGUCUCGCUGCCGCCUGGAUUCGCAGGACAAACUCGAAACCUGUGCAUCCACUUUCAGACAUUUGAGUUUUGGUGCUUCCUGAAAGAUGAGCAUGGGCGAUCGUUAACAGCUCCUGACAGCUGCACUACUGGCACGGAAUGAUAUGGUUUUGCUUGUCUCAGGGUGGAUUUGCCACCAUUGGUGGUACUGUGGGGUGCCAUAAGGCUUAUGAAAAAGGUGUACCCAAAUGAGAAUGAGAUUUCUUUGGUGAGUAACCUAGCACUUGUUUCGUUUUCGUGCAUUGUAUUGGGUGAUGUAAAUGUGUAGUUAAGAGGUAGCCUGCAGUGAGUUGUCUGUUUUACCAUUUUUUGCUCAAUUUUCUUCCAAUUUAGUCUCACUAACAGUUUAAAACUCUGCAGUCACUACUACUGUUUGUGUACACAGGUUGUAACCAGUUAACUGUAACAUGUAUUUAAACUGUAAACUUCUUGGUCUGUACAAAAUUUAAUGGUGUUGGUAGAUGUCUUAUCAUGCAUAUGAGAUUUGUUAACAAUCUUUGACAGUGUAAUAAGAGUGAAAGUGCAGGGUGGAACAAUGGUCUCCAUGCGUUUGUUGAUAAUUAGAUAUGUUUGCAAGAAAUAGCAAUGUCUUCCAUGGCAAUAUGCAUAUAGAUGUUCGUGGCACUAUCUUGCUUUAUUGUUGAUGUAUUUGAGCCAGCUGCUUAGUAAACUUCUCCCAUUGCUGUAUGGCAUGUGGAAUGCCUAACAUUAGGUAUUGUGUUCUUAAAAGUUGAUAUUGUAUUUGUUCUGCAUAUAUUUGUUGGUUGUAGGCCCCACAACCUUAACCUCAUUGAGGUUUUAUUGCUGCUGUGGUUAGAGGUCUAAUAAUUUAUGCUUUCGAUAGGUUGACGAGUCACAUGUUGCUACUUUGAUGUCAGAUAGGGUGCAGAUGAGCUGGAGUUAAUCACCAUUUCUAUCAAUGCAUUUUUGUAGUCACUGGGAGUUUUUGUAUGCCCAUGUCAUACCAGCUUGCUGUCAUGCUGUUUUGAAAGUUAUAAACCUCUUCAUUCACCUUGUCGGAGCUGAAUCACUUUCUGACCAAAUAUUCUUUUAAUCUAAGGAACGGGUGGUAGUGCCUGGGUGCUAAGUCAGGACUUAGGGUGGGUGGGUGAUUGUGUCACACUGAAACUGUUGCAGCAGAGCAAUGGUUGGGAGUGAUGUGUGGGUGUGUUUUGUCAUGGAGAAUGUGUGCACCCUUGCUCAACAUUCCUCUUGUCCAGGUCUGAAUUGCCUGUUGAGUUUUUUCAGAGUCUCAGCAUUAAUUGCAGUCCCAGCGAUUCAGCUUUGACAAGGUGAGA